CCAAUGUUUAUCCUCGUUUUAAAAAAAUAAAUUAAAAAAAAGAAAAUGGAAACCCAAUCUGCUUCACAGAGAAACGCUCUCAAUCGCUCUUCUUCUCUCAGUCUCGCUCCCUCUCAACUCUCAAACAAUCGCCUUCCACCUCAACAUCUCUCUCAAUCGAAAUCUCUCUCUGCUCUCAAAAUCGCCCAUCACCUCUCGCCCAUCGCUCAACCUCAUGAAUCUCUCUCACUCACUCUCAGCAAAACUCACAGUUUUAAAGAAAAUCUGAAGUUUACCUCCGGUGACGAUUUGGUAGUGACGAUGACGAUGAAGCCUAAACUUCACUCUUUCCUCUCUAAUCCAGGUAUGUUUCGAUUUCGGAGUUAGGGUUCUUGGUCGAAUUUGGUCCGCCUCCCUUUUCUCUCCAAAUUUUUCGUAGGGUUUUUUCGCUCUGAAGUUUUUCCGCCGCUCCCUUUUUCUCAAAUUUU
rnacentral:lncRNA from 1 species